rnacentral:rRNA from 1 species
AAAAAAAAGAGUUUGAUCUUGGCUCAGAAUCAACGCUGGCGGCGUGCCUAACACAUGCAAGUCGAACGCGGUUAUCCAGCAAUGGAUAACUGAGUGGCGAACGGGUGAGUAACACGUGGGUGACCUACCUUCGAGUGGGGGAUAACGUCCCGAAAGGGACGCUAAUACCGCAUAACAUCCUGCCUUUGAACAGGCGGAGAUCAAAGCUGGGGAUCGUAAGACCUGGCGUUUGAAGAGGGGCCCGCGUCCGAUUAGCUAGUUGGUGAGGUAAUGGCUCACCAAGGCAACGAUCGGUAGCCGGCCUGAGAGGGCGGACGGCCACACUGGGACUGAGACACGGCCCAGACUCCUACGGGAGGCAGCAGUGGGGAAUUGUUCACAAUGGGCGCAAGCCUGAUGACGCAACGCCGCGUGGAGGAUGAAGGUCUUCGGAUUGUAAACUCCUGUUGCCAGGGACGAAUGGCUCUGACCUAACACGUCAGAGUAUGACGGUACCUGGUGA